GCAUACGUCCUACGGGAGAAAGCAGGGGAUCUUCGGACCUUGCGCUAAUAGAUGAGCCUAAGUCGGAUUAGCUAGUUGGUGGGGUAAAGGCCUACCAAGGCGACGAUCUGUAGCGGGUCUGAGAGGAUGAUCCGCCACACUGGGACUGAGACACGGCCCAGACUCCUACGGGAGGCAGCAGUGGGGAAUAUUGGACAAUGGGCGCAAGCCUGAUCCAGCCAUGCCGCGUGUGUGAAGAAGGCCUUAUGGUUGUAAAGCACUUUAAGCGAGGAGGAGGCUACUUUAGAUAAUACCUAGAGAUAGUGGACGUUACUCGCAGAAUAAGCACCGGCUAACUCUGUGCCAGCAGCCGCGGUAAUACAGAGGGUGCAAGCGUUAAUCGGAUUUACUGGGCGUAAAGCGCGCGUAGGCGGCUAAUUAAGUCAAAUGUGAAAUCCCCGAGCUUAACUUGGGAAUUGCAUUCGAUACUGGUUAGCUAGAGUGUGGGAGAGGAUGGUAGAAUUCCAGGUGUAGCGGUGAAAUGCGUAGAGAUCUGGAGGAAUACCGAUGGCGAAGGCAGCCAUCUGGCCUAACACUGACGCUGAGGUGCGAAAGCAUGGGGAGCAAACAGGAUUAGAUACCCUGGUAGUCCAUGCCGUAAACGAUGUCUACUAGCCGUUGGGGCCUUUGAGGCUUUAGUGGCGCAGCUAACGCGAUAAGUAGACCGC
rnacentral:rRNA from 1 species